GGAGAUUUAGCUCAGUGGUAGAGCGCUUGCCUAGCAAGCGCAAGGCCCUGGGUUCAAUCCUCAGCUCCG
rnacentral:tRNA from 1 species